GGAACUGGUCCCAGAGGACCCGUGUGUGGGUGGCAAGAACCCAGAGGAGCUGUGGGGAGAACGCAGCUGACUCCCACCUCUCUCCCUGGGCCUGGCCAGAUGACCGGGGUGGGACCGGUCCUGUCUGUGCAGCCGCAGGCAAACAGGAAGUUCUGGAGAAACGCUCAGGACUGUGCUGAGGAGAUCACGGCCCACCUGCUGCCCAAAAUGUGCACCCGUUUGCAUAUGAUUGAGAACAACAGAAACAGAUUCCAGAUAACUUAAAAGAGGGGGAAAUGGACCGGUAGGAUGUAGAAUUGCUCAAGAACAGAAGAAAAGAUGGACGACUGGGCCUCACCAUGGGAGCCAGGCAGGAAGCAGACAGCAACUCAAGGGCGCUCUCUUCGCAUCGAAGACUCCAAUUGCUUUCCAUUCUUACAUCACUCCCUGAAAAAUUCUGGGACCCAGGAGAGAGAAAAUGAUGGCCAAGCUUGUGUUGCAGUGGGCAGGGUUGGUCCUGAAAGAAAAACCAAGGGACUACCACCAAAGAAGGGGAGACGUAGGCCGGGCUGCCAGAGGUCUAGGAAGCAAGACGUGUUCUGGCUGAUCGAGCAGAUGGAAGCUUCAAGGGUUUGGGUUCACGCCAUCCAGUAUGGGAGCCACUGGCCACAUGUAGCUACUGAGCGCUCACAGCGUGGCUAGUUCAAAUGGAGAUGUGCUCUCGCGGUAACAUACAGACUGGCUUUCAAAGACUUAGCAUGAACAAAAGAAUGUAAGCUAUCUCAGUAAUAAUUUUUUACAUUGAUUGUAUGUUGAAAUAGUAUCUCA
rnacentral:lncRNA from 1 species